GCUUGGGUUUAUGAAACAUCCAAAUUCUGAUGAUGCUCAUUCUUCCUUUUUGACCUUCAAACUCAAAAUCAACACGACUUGAGAGUAGCCAUGAAAAAAGCCAGGCUCCAGUUUGUGCUGAACAGUUGUUGAGCAGUUCUCAAAGAACUAAUUAGCCUUUUGUACUUGCCUCCAUGAGAUGGGGGAUCAGGACAGAGUCCAUCUCACGGGCACCAAGGGAGGGCUUCAUGAUUAGGCUCAGUCAAGUAUUAUAACUGAGUAUAAUGCGUGUACAGCUCUAAAUCCUAGAAUCCCUUUGCUGCCAAGCCCAUGAAGUUAAUCUCAAAGCACAGCAAUGACCAGCCACUGACCAAAAACUUCUGCCAAAUAAAAAAGGGACAGAGAUUAUCUCACCCAAAUAUCAUCAGUACCAAGGACUCAUGUUUGGACAACAGCACAUCUGUCAACUGCUGGCUCACAAAAUGUCCCCAGCAACUCUCCAAACCUGUUAUAUGGCUUCUUUCUUUGCAGAAGAUUUCAAACCUCAGGGAAGUGGGUUCCCUAUAAGGAAAUUCCCCUCAGGAGGAAUUCAUUACCUGAGACUGCAGAGUCAAGUUACAAGGACACAUGCAUAUUGUGAAUCAAUUACCUUUGAAUGUCCUCAGAGCUUCUUUACCCUUCUCUAAACCUAAUCCCACAGAGUGGCCCUUUGGGAAAUGGGCUAGCAACCACAGGAGUGUAGAGGUCAGAUGCAGGCCCCAUAAAUCCUUCAGAAAGAUUAGGCUUCAAAGCUUGAGGCCACACCAAGGAUCUGUGAGCUCACACUUGCUCAUAUGUGGCCUCAGCACUCCAAGCAGCAGAGGACAGUUUGCAACCUUCAACAUCACUCCUCCUGUUCUGAGCUUUAUCAAAUGUCCACUUGUUUUUAAGUGCACGUUAGCAAUUUCUUGUUGAUAUGAGUCUAUGAAAGAAACAGGCCAGGCUGAGGCUGCCUCUGUAUUUCAUCACUUCGGC
rnacentral:lncRNA from 1 species